UACGAAGGGGGCUAGCGUUGCUCGGAAUCACUGGGCGUAAAGCGCACGUAGGCGGCUUGUUAAGUCAGGGGUGAAAUCCUGGAGCUCAACUCCAGAACUGCCUUUGAUACUGGCGAGCUUGAGUUCGGGAGAGGUGAGUGGAACUGCGAGUGUAGAGGUGAAAUUCGUAGAUAUUCGCAAGAACACCAGUGGCGAAGGCGGCUCCCUGGCCCGAUACUGACGCUGAGGUGCGAAAGCGUGGGGAGCAAACAGG
rnacentral:rRNA from 1 species